UACGGAGGAUGCGAGCGUUAUCCGGAUUCAUUGGGUUUAAAGGGUGCGUAGGCUGUGCGUCAAGUCAGGGGUGAAAGACCGUCGCUCAACGUCGGGGCCGCCCUUGAUACUGCCGCGCUGGGGUACGGGUGCCGCCGGAGGAAUGAGUGGUGUAGCGGUGAAAUGCAUAGAUAUCACUCAGAACACCGAUUGCGAAGGCAUCUGGCGAACCCGUCACCGACGCUGAGGCACGAAAGCGUGGGGAUAGAAC
rnacentral:rRNA from 1 species